rnacentral:tRNA from 1 species
GCCGGGAUGGCGGAACGGUAGACGCCGCCGACUUAAAAUCGGCCGCCCGCGAGGGCAUGCGGGUUCGAGUCCCGCUCCCGGCACCA